GGAAGGAACCCGAGGAACCGAGUCGAGGCUAAAGGACGACUCGUUUGAGAUAUAGAGAUUAGAGGAGCAGCAGACUGAGCUGCUGAGGUGUGUGAAGUCAUCAGCUUGAAGUCUUCGGGUAUAAUUUAUACCCUAACUGUAAAUAUUUCUUUUGAUGUAUAUAUUGCACAUAAAUGUAUGGACAUGUACAUGGGUCUUGAGCAGCUUGUACAAAGUUUGUAUAAAAGUUGUAAUAAAUUUUAGUUUGGACUUCCUGAAUGUAAAUUUUAGUAUGAUGAAUAUAUAAAUUGUUUAUCUUGAA